rnacentral:rRNA from 1 species
GCGAGAAACCUUUGCAAUGUGCGAAAGCACGACAAGGUUAAUCCGAGUGUCUUCUGCUAAAGAAGUCUUUUGUUAGUCAUAGAACCACUGAUGAAUAAGGGGUGGGCAAGUUCUGGUGUCAGCCGCCGCGGUAAAACCAGCACCUCGAGUGGUCAGGAGGUUUAUUGGGCCUAAAGCAUCCGUAGCCGGUUGUUUAAGUUUCGGUUAAAUCUAUGCGCUUAACGUAUAGGCUGCCGAAAAUACUGGACAGCUAGGGAGUGGGAGAGGUACACGGUACUCAAUAGGAAGGGGUAAAAUCCUUUGAUCUGUUGAUGACCACCUGUGGCGAAGGCGGUGUACCAGAACACGUUCGACGGUGAGGGAUGAAAGCUGGGGGAGCAAACCGGAUUAGAUACCCAAGUAGUCCCUGAGCGGGCUGGCAAGGCGCAU